rnacentral:rRNA from 1 species
AGAGUUUGAUCAUGGCUCAGAUUGAACGCUGGCGGCAGGCCUAACACAUGCAAGUCGAGCGGUAGCACAGAGAGCUUGCUCUCGGGUGACGAGCGGCGGACGGGUGAGUAAUGUCUGGGAAACUGCCUGAUGGAGGGGGAUAACUACUGGAAACGGUAGCUAAUACCGCAUAACGUCGCAAGACCAAAGUGGGGGACCUUCGGGCCUCAUGCCAUCAGAUGUGCCCAGAUGGGAUUAGCUAGUAGGUGGGGUAACGGCUCACCUAGGCGACGAUCCCUAGCUGGUCUGAGAGGAUGACCAGCCACACUGGAACUGAGACACGGUCCAGACUCCUACGGGAGGCAGCAGUGGGGAAUAUUGCACAAUGGGCGCAAGCCUGAUGCAGCCAUGCCGCGUGUGUGAAGAAGGCCUUCGGGUUGUAAAGCACUUUCAGCGGGGAGGAAGGCGAUAAGGUUAAUAACCUCAGCGAUUGACGUUACCCGCAGAAGAAGCACCGGCUAACUCCGUGCCAGCAGCCGCGGUAAUACGGAGGGUGCAAGCGUUAAUCGGAAUUACUGGGCGUAAAGCGCACGCAGGCGGUCUGUCAAGUCGGAUGUGAAAUCCCCGGGCUCAACCUGGGAACUGCAUUCGAAACUGGCAGGCUAGAGUCUUGUAGAGGGGGGUAGAAUUCCAGGUGUAGCGGUGAAAUGCGUAGAGAUCUGGAGGAAUACCGGUGGCGAAGGCGGCCCCCUGGACAAAGACUGACGCUCAGGUGCGAAAGCGUGGGGAGCAAACAGGAUUAGAUACCCUGGUAGUCCACGCCGUAAACGAUGUCGAUUUGGAGGUUGUGCCCUUGAGGCGUGGCUUCCGGAGCUAACGCGUUAAAUCGACCGCCUGGGGAGUACGGCCGCAAGGUUAAAACUCAAAUGAAUUGACGGGGGCCCGCACAAGCGGUGGAGCAUGUGGUUUAAUUCGAUGCAACGCGAAGAACCUUACCUGGUCUUGACAUCCACAGAACUUACCAGAGAUGCAUUGGUGCCUUCGGGAACUGUGAGACAGGUGCUGCAUGGCUGUCGUCAGCUCGUGUUGUGAAAUGUUGGGUUAAGUCCCGCAACGAGCGCAACCCUUAUCCUUUGUUGCCAGCGGUCCGGCCGGGAACUCAAAGGAGACUGCCAGUGAUAAACUGGAGGAAGGUGGGGAUGACGUCAAGUCAUCAUGGCCCUUACGACCAGGGCUACACACGUGCUACAAUGGCAUAUACAAAGAGAAGCGACCUCGCGAGAGCAAGCGGACCUCAUAAAGUAUGUCGUAGUCCGGAUUGGAGUCUGCAACUCGACUCCAUGAAGUCGGAAUCGCUAGUAAUCGUAGAUCAGAAUGCUACGGUGAAUACGUUCCCGGGCCUUGUACACACCGCCCGUCACACCAUGGGAGUGGGUUGCAAAAGAAGUAGGUAGCUUAACCUUCGGGAGGGCGCUUACCACUUUGUGAUUCAUGACUGGGGUGAAGUCGUAACAAGGUAACCGUAGGGGAACCUGCGGUUG